AUCAAUACUCUACAUUGGUUCCAAGGCAGAAGAGCAGGAAAGGUUAGGCAAAUGGGAGUUAAAGUGAUUUGCCUAGCUUCACAUAGCUAGGAAGUGUCUGAGGCCAGAUUUUAACCCAAGAUCUCCUAUCCCUAGGCCUUGCUCUCAAUCCACCGAGCCACCUCACUGCUCCCCUCUGCUUUUCUUUCUUAAAAAAUUUGUACUUCAUGUAUUUUAACAUUUAAAAAAUGUUUGAUUUCCUGAUUCUUUCCCUUCGGUCCCUCCUUCACUCUUUGAGAAGGCAAGCAGUCUGUUAUUUAGAUAUUUGAAAUAAUGCAAAACAUACUCCCAAAGUAUUUCAAAAUGAGUCUUUGAGAAUGAGACCCUUUAGUGUGCAUAAGUUGCCCCAGAACUUAGAGUUGGUGAUGCAGGUGACCAGUUCUGGUGCCAUGAUUCCAUGCAUCAUAAUAAGAUCCCUGGAGACUUAGGGACCCUGAAACUACAGAAAGAAUCACCAAUCUCCUGCCAUCUUUAUUCCCAUUUGACUGCUGCCAUAGAACCCAGCAACUUUAGGCCUAUGACAACCGGACCGCCUUCAUCCUGCAGCCAUCAAACUGGGACAUCUUGUCACAUGAGCUACGGGGAAUAGAUGUGAGACCUCAAAGCCAGAUUCGAGGGAUGGAUGGAGAAGACCCACGAAGCACAGUGGUCAUGGGGAGGAGGAAUAGGCCAGGGGCCGAUCAUACUUCUCUUCAACAAGGCAGCUUGACUAGGAAGGGAGUCGGGAGCUGGAAGCACAUCUGAAUGACCAACUUUGUGCUGAGCAGCGCUGCCUGAAAUGGUCUGUGCUUGAGGCAUUAGGAAUGCCUCCUCUCAUGGAAGUGGGAAUUGGGGUGGGGAGAAGGGCUGUGAGGACCAGGAAGAGCCAGGUGCCAUUCCCUGGGUGGUCAUGAAGAAGUGAGACUUGGGGCUGAGGGAAUGAGACCAGCAGCUGUCCAUCGUGCCACCUUUCUCUCUUCCCUCCAGCCCCUUCCAAAAGUUGCCUCUUCUCCAAUAAGCCAUGGCUGCCACAUAGGGGACCUUGCAAAUGCCCAGACAUUGUCUGAGGGGCAGUCCAGUGUGCCCACUGACAGAGUCCUCUUCAUUUGUGGACAGCCCUUCCAUCUGGAUAUGAAGACUGGCUGCCAUUGACCAUUACCUCUGACACUGGCUGGGUGCCCAGGCAAAAGGCUACUUUCUUCCCCUUGCAAGGUCCUAAUACUCUUGGGCUUUGAGGCCUCCAAGGUCUUUAAAGAUGCUGUGCUUCCCUGAAGAGUUGAGUAUCAUGAAGAAUGACCAGAUUGCCAGGCCUUUGAAGAAAGUGAUGAGCGAGCUCUGAGAGGGGAGGGAGAAGACCCUCAGGCUCUCUUUCUUUCUCUUGUUAGCAGAUGAACUGCUGGAGUAGCAGCUGUGUGUCUCCUCCCCAGCCCUCCCCCCAAACAGAAUCUGGGACAAUCCUCAGGUCCUGAUUUAACUUUUACUCUUCUAACUCCCACUUCUCACACAUCGAAUUAGUACAAGUUUUAAUACCACUUUCUUUUCUUUUCAA